GGGCAGGUAGCUCAGCGGUAGAGCUCUGGACUGAAAAUCCAGGAGUCGCCGGUUCGAUCCCGGCCCUGCCCA
rnacentral:tRNA from 1 species